GCCCUGUAAAAGAUAUUUUAAGGCCUGAGUCUAUAAAUAUUCAGAAGGCAUGCAGUUGAGUGGGGAAUCUCAACUCCUUCCAGCUUUAAAGUCGUGAGUCAUGAUAUUUAUGAACAUAAAAUAAAAACACGGGAAAUAAAAACAAAAAUGUGCAGGUUAAAAAUACUUGACUGCCUACCGCAGUGAGGGAAUAGGUUUGCGGCCCAGCGACACACGUUGUCAUCCAUUCAUUACAGUGCCCGAUGUCUCCUCGCAGCAACCACAUCAU